GGUAUGGUAUAGUGGUUUGAGUGUUGGACUGUGACUCUGGAGACCAGGGUUCGAAUCCCAGCUCCACCA
rnacentral:tRNA from 1 species